GGGGGCGCAAUGGUUUCGACGGGGAUAGGAUGGUAUGAGUAAGCGAGCUGUGGUCCGGGGCCACAUUAAAACUCGGAAGACAGAUAACUGUCAACAAUAAACAAUUAAUCGCAGCUUAAUAUAAGCAGCCGUUCUUUUUAACUCACCGCUGACGGAGCUAAAAAGAGCGUCAUUAAAGUCAGCUACCCACCGGGCUUUGCCUUAAGUUCGAUUGGGGAAACCCAAAGGCUAGUGUUGAACCGAUUUGGCAAUUGAAAGCGGUUCAAGGCGACAGCUUAAAGCAAUUGCUUCGCUCGAAGAAAGCUCAUAUGGUUCAUUUUCGGACAGGAGUUCGAUUCUCCUCGCCUCCACCA
rnacentral:tmRNA from 1 species